rnacentral:rRNA from 1 species
AGAGUGAACGCUGGCGGUAGGCCUAACACAUGCAAGUCGAACGGCAGCACGGUAAGAGCUUGCUCUUAUGGGUGGCGAGUGGCGGACGGGUGAGGAAUACAUCGGAAUCUACCUUUUGGUGGGGGAUAACGUAGGGAAACUUACGCUAAUACCGCAUACGCCCUUCGGGGGAAAGCCGGGGACCAGCAAUGGCCUGGUGCUGAUAGAUGAGCCGAUGUCGGAUUAGCUAGUUGGUGAGGUAAUGGCUCACCAAGGCGACGAUCCGUAGCUGGUCUGAGAGGAUGAUCAGCCACACUGGAACUGAGACACGGUCCAGACCUCCGUACGGGAGCAGCAGGUGGGG